rnacentral:rRNA from 1 species
CAGUCGCCACGGGAAUACGUAGGUCCCGAGCGUUGUCCGGAUUUAUUGGGCGUAAAGGGAGCGCAGGCGGUUUAGUAAGUCUGGAGUUAAAGGCAUUGGCUCAACCAAUGUAUGCUUUGGAAACUGGGAAACUUGAGUGCAGAAGAGGAGAGUGGAAUUCCACGUGUAGCGGUGAAAUGCGUAGAGAUGUGGAGGAACACCAGUGGCGAAGGCGACUCUCUGGUCUGUAACUGACGCUGAGGAGCGAAAGCGUGGGGAGCGAACAGGAUUAGAUACCCGUGUAGUCCCUGUCUCUUAUACA